CUCCGUGUCAGUCAGUGCAGAAGCAGCAAGAUGCUGUGGCAGACUCAGCUCGUCUGGCUCCUCAUGCUCUGGGCAAAGGGCUCCAGCGGGGACAUCGUCAUCACUCAGACUCCAGAGUCCCUGGCAGUGUCUCCAGGGGACACAGUCACCAUCAAGUGCAAAACCAGCUCCAGUGUUAGCA